AUUGUUGUCGUUGAAUAACUACGGGGGUUUUUCACGCCAUUGGUUUUGGUUAAAGUCCCGGCAGGAAUU
rnacentral:tRNA from 1 species